rnacentral:rRNA from 1 species
AUUGAACGCUGGCGGCAGGCCUAACACAUGCAAGUCGAGCGGAUGAAGGGAGCUUGCUCCUGGAUUCAGCGGCGGACGGGUGAGUAAUGCCUAGGAAUCUGCCUGGUAGUGGGGGAUAACGUCCGGAAACGGGCGCUAAUACCGCAUACGUCCUGAGGGAGAAAGUGGGGGAUCUUCGGACCUCACGCUAUCAGAUGAGCCUAGGUCGGAUUAGCUAGUUGGUGGGGUAAAGGCCUACCAAGGCGACGAUCCGUAACUGGUCUGAGAGGAUGAUCAAUCACACUGGAACUGAGACACGGUCCAGACUCCUACGGGAGGCAGCAGUGGGGAAUAUUGGACAAAGGGCGAAAGCCUGAUCCAGCCAUGCCGCGUGUGUGAAGAAGGUCUUCGGAUUGUAAAGCACUUUAAGUUGGGAGGAAGGGCAGUAAGUUAAUACCUUGCUGUUUUGACGUUACCAACAGAAUAAGCACCGGCUAACUUCGUG